rnacentral:rRNA from 1 species
GACGAACGCUGGCGGCGUGCUUAACACAUGCAAGUCGAACGGAAAGGCCCUGCUUUUGUGGGGUGCUCGAGUGGCGAACGGGUGAGUAACACGUGAGUAACCUGCCCUUGACUUUGGGAUAACUUCAGGAAACUGGGGCUAAUACCGGAUAGGAGCUCCUGCUGCAUGGUGGGGGUUGGAAAGUUUCGGCGGUUGGGGAUGGACUCGCGGCUUAUCAGCUUGUUGGUGGGGUAGUGGCUUACCAAGGCUUUGACGGGUAGCCGGCCUGAGAGGGUGACCGGCCACAUUGGGACUGAGAUACGGCCCAGACUCCUACGGGAGGCAGCAGUGGGGAAUAUUGCACAAUGGGCGGAAGCCUGAUGCAGCAACGCCGCGUGCGGGAUGACGGCCUUCGGGUUGUAAACCGCUUUCGCCUGUGACGAAGCGUGAGUGACGGUAAUGGGUAAAGAAGCACCGGCUAACUACGUGCCAGCAGCCGCGGUGAUACGUAGGGUGCGAGCGUUGUCCGGAUUUAUUGGGCGUAAAGGGCUCGUAGGUGGUUGAUCGCGUCGGAAGUGUAAUCUUGGGGCUUAACCCUGAGCGUGCUUUCGAUACGGGUUGACUUGAGGAAGGUAGGGGAGAAUGGAAUUCCUGGUGGAGCGGUGGAAUGCGCAGAUAUCAGGAGGAACACCAGUGGCGAAGGCGGUUCUCUGGGCCUUUCCUGACGCUGAGGAGCGAAAGCGUGGGGAGCGAACAGGCUUAGAUACCCUGGUAGUCCACGCUGUAAACGGUGGGUACUAGGUGUGGGGUCCAUUCCACGGGUUCCGUGCCGUAGCUAACGCUUUAAGUACCCCGCCUGGGGAGUACGGCCGCAAGGCUAAAACUCAAAGGAAUUGACGGGGCCCCGCACAAGCGGCGGAGCAUGCGGAUUAAUUCGAUGCAACGCGUAGAACCUUACCUGGGUUUGACAUGGAUCGGGAGUGCUCAGAGAUGGGUGUGCCUCUUUUGGGGUCGGUUCACAGGUGGUGCAUGGCUGUCGUCAGCUCGUGUCGUGAGAUGUUGGGUUAAGUCCCGCAACGAGCGCAACCCUUGUUCACUGUUGCCAGCACGUUAUGGUGGGGACUCAGUGGAGACCGCCGGGGUCAACUCGGAGGAAGGUGGGGAUGACGUCAAGUCAUCAUGCCCCUUAUGUCCAGGGCUUCACGCAUGCUACAAUGGCUGGUACAGAGAGUGGCGAGCCUGUGAGGGUGAGCGAAUCUCGGAAAGCCGGUCUCAGUUCGGAUUGGGGUCUGCAACUCUACCUCAUGAAGUCGGAGUCGCUAGUAAUCGCAGAUCAGCAACGCUGCGGUGAAUACGUUCCCGGG